UACGAAGGGGGCUAGCGUUGCUCGGAAUCACUGGGCGUAAAGGGUGCGUAGGCGGGUCUUUAAGUCAGGGGUGAAAUCCUGGAGCUCAACUCCAGAACUGCCUUUGAUACUGAAGAUCUUGAGUUCGGGAGAGGUGAGUGGAACUGCGAGUGUAGAGGUGAAAUUCGUAGAUAUUCGCAAGAACACCAGUGGCGAAGGCGGCUCACUGGCCCGAUAUUGACGCUGAUGCGCGAAAGCCAGGGGAGCAAACGGG
rnacentral:rRNA from 1 species